AAGUCGUAACAAGGUUUCCGUAGGUGAACCUGCGGAAGGAUCAUUAACACGUAUCCAAACGUUACAGGACAUCAAAACAGCAAUCCCGAGUAAAUCAGGCGCUAAAGAAUUACAGAUUUUGAUUUUGGGAAGUUCUGUGUGUACGUGGACGCUGCAAUUGAGCGCUAGAUAAAGCACCCUGGUACCCUAGAACACUCCCCUGUCUGAAAGCGGCAGGGAUCAAUGUUCAGGGUGGCGCAGUCAACGAUCGCUGUAGGUCCACACGACCGGCGACCGGGGUGGAGGCGAAAGCCCCUACGUCAUCCCUAUGUACCCUCCGGGACUUGGCGAAAGCUGACUCCGUCAUAAAUCGAACAACUGUUAACAAUGGAUAUCUUGGUUCUC
rnacentral:misc_RNA from 1 species